GCUCUCUUACAACACCCGAUGCCCAUUCGUUUUGUUAAUUUCGUCUCCCCUCUCCUCCGAGCUCCGCCUCCACUCCUCAAGCUCGCCUCUGCUGCGUUCCCUCUCGUUUCCGCCGCGUUCUCUCGCCUCCGCCUCUCCUCGUCUCCUCCCCAUGUGCUGCGCUCUCCCUCUCCUCCGCCUCUCCUCGUCUCCUCCCCCGUGUCGUGCUCUGCUCGCCAAAAAUCUCCGGCGACAAAAGAUGGCUUCGUUUGGCCAAGAAUCGCCGGAUCCGGGGGCGGAGAGGCCGGAUCCGGUGACAGGUGAUCUCUGUUCCAAGUGGUACUCGCCGGAAGCUGGACAAUCUUUGUGGCUAUCGAGUAUGGGCGUGUGGAAGAAGAACACCAAGCUGGACUAGUUCUUGCGGCUAUGGAUUUAAGGAGGAGCAGCAGCGGCUCCUGGCGGCAGUGACGAUGACGAGCAGCAGCAGCUCAAGGAGUGGAGCAUUGGGUACUGCUCUACAAGAUCAGCACCAUCUACAGGAGUAAGAUAAGUACUCUAUCUGCACUGGGUAUCUGCAGGAUUAAGAAUUCUAGUAUAUUGAGAAUGCUAUGAUGCAUGUUGUACCAUUGAGUUGUUAAUUGAGAUUGCCACAUAAAGCAUCUUUUUAGUGCCAUUGAGUUGUUAAUUGAGUUUCUGAUUGCUAGGAGCAUUAGUUGUUGAUGUGGAGCUUGUUUGCUGCUAAGAAUGUUCUAUACUCUGUUGUUAAUGAUGCAGUCAAAUCUUCUCUCUCAAUCUCAAUCUAUUCUCCUCUCCUCUCAAUCUCAAUCUAUCUUGAACCUGAACUAAAACCUUAACUAAAACCCCAACUAAAACCUGAACUAAAAUCUAUCCUCUCUUAUCUCCUCUCCUCUCUUAAUCUCUUCUCUUAUGUCUCCUCUCUCUCAUAACCUGAACUAAAACCUGAACUUUAGCACUUAAACUGAACUUUAACUGAACUAAAACACUUAAACCGAACCUGUAAUGUUUAAGAAUGCUGAAUCUGAAUCUCUUCUCUCUUCUCUGAACCUGAAAGAAUGAUGAUGUUCUUGUGCUAAGAACAACAUUGUUCUUGUGCCAAGAAUGAUCUCUUCUUUCUUCUUUCUUGUCUCUUCUCUCUCAAAAGUCUGAACCUGAACCUAAUCUACUCUCUUGUUUAUGUACACUUUCAGCACUGAAUUGAAAUUCUGCUUGUCUAGGUACUCUUUCAGCAUUGAAUUGAAAUUGUGCUUCAUGUCCUUUUUCUUCUUGUUGCUGACAUUCUUCCUUGAUUUGGCAGCUGCUUGAUUGAACCAUUCCAUGGCGAGGUAGCAGGAAGGCCGAGGACCAGCUUGGCCUGAGAUGUGGGAUAGUGGUGGCACCAGUGAAGGCAGAGGCAGAGCUUUGCUGCAGAUGCGGGAUGGUGGCAGGCCCAGCGAAGGCAGAGGCAGAGCUCUGCCUGAGAUGGGAGGAAGGCGGAGGAGCCCGGGAAGGCAGAGGUAGAGCUCUGCCUCAGAUGCGAGAAGGCAGAGGUGAUUUUCCCUAGGCAACGGCAGGCAAGAGGCGACGGCGGCGUGCGAUGGGAUCGGCUGAUCUGAGUAAUUUUAACUUAAGGCUGUAGCUCCUGUGAUCUGCGUGAUUGAUUUGAAAUGACAUUGUAGCUCCUCACUGUGAGAUCGUGAUCUCUGUAAUUUUGAUUUACGGCUGUAGCUCCUGUGAUCCGCAAGAUUGAUUUGAACUGGCGUCGUAGCUCCUCA